GGUAAUGUGACUUAGUGGUAGAGUGCUUGCCUAGUAUGAAAGUCCUAGGUUCGAUUCCUCAGUACCA
rnacentral:tRNA from 1 species